ensembl:lncRNA
UCACACACGCACGCACGCACACACACACACACACACACACACACACACACACACACACACACACACACACACACACACACACACACACACACACACACACACACACACACACAUGCAUACAAUCUUACAAACCUGCAAAGCACCUUGACUUUUAAAAGGUUGCUUUGACAGAAACAUUAUUACACACACCCCCCCACCCACACACACACACACACACACACACACACACACACAAAUGAAAACAAACUUGUUUUUAAUCCUACAAAGCACCUCGUCUUUUAAAAGGUUGCUUGGAUUGAGACUUUAUCACACACGCACACACACACACACUCACACUCACACACACACACACACACACACACACACACACACACACACACACACACACACACACAUUUCUACAUACACUGUCCUGGGACACCAUGACCUUUAAGGGCUGCAACAUGGUGACCAGAGCAGUGUUGUGGAAGCCAGGCAGCAGUAACUGGUUUCAUGUUAACACAGACUUGUACUCUCCCCCACUCUUCUCCGGAGAGACGCCGUCUGCACUGGAGCUGUGAUGACCUUGUUUUCUGUCUGUUGCACGUGUUUGGGUUUCAGAGCAUUUCUUUGAGGAAGUGAAACAAGUGGGACAUCAUGAUCAGCAGUCCAUCCUAGCAACACGGUUGCUGUGAACGAUCGCUGAACCAACUCUGUACAAUCCUGUAUCUAUAACUCUGCCCUGCUGAACAAUCUCAUGGUACAUCUCAUGUACAGUACACAUUUUGGUAAAAAGAACAUUGUUUAUUUACUUAUUAAUACUCACCUAUACCAUACCUAUCAAAGGGACUUAUGCUAAUAUUCAGUGGCACAAUGUACUUAUGAAUACGUAUUACUUAUUAUUAUCGAUAGCACUGUUGAUAACUGAUGCUGUGGUGUCUUUAGCCCCGAGGGGAGGAAUACUUUAACAGUCUGAGUUGUGUUUGUAAUUCUAGGUCAUUGACCUGAGGUGCUGUCUGCAGUGCUCUCACACACAGCGUGUUCAAACAGGAACUUCAUUCUGCCGGUGAAGCAGAAACUGCGGCAUUUUGCAGUGUGGCGGGUCAUCCUCUUCGGUCCGUAAGAAAGUCUCGUUGCCAAAGGACAGACAGACACUGUCUGGCGUGAAGGCAAGGCAGCUUUGUCUGGGUGUAAUCAGCCGCUGCUGAGGAAUCUCCUCGGAACAGACGCUUACAUUUGUCAGGAGAAAGAGAAACAACAGAGGACAGGAGCCCUAUAAGGACUCUUUCCUGAAGCCCCCGUCCAGAUCUGUGAUGAUGUCACUGGACUUCCGGACAGCGUUCCAUCUUUGGUCCGACGUGGGGCCGUUUCGUCUCCGUCGGUUCUUCCGACGGUUCGGUCAAGAAUGAUCAAUUGAUUUAGACCAAUGAUGUGCAUUUAAAGCUAGCACUAGAUCGGCUCGAUCUAGUCUAGGAAUCCUCUCUGUAUGAAUUAUAUUUAGAUUUGAUAUUCUAUAUCGACACAAACAUUGCCCUGGGAGCCCCUCUCUCUCUCUCUCUCUCUCUCUCUCUCUCUCUCUCUCUCUCUCUCUCUCUCUCUCUCUCUCUCUCUCUC